ensembl:lncRNA
CACAGUCCUACGGAGGAAGUAGGGGGAUCAGAGUCAGAGAAGGAGAUGUGGCCAUGGAGGCAGAAGUUGGGGGACUAAAGGGACAGGAGUCGAGAAGUGCCGGUGGCUUCUAGAAACUGGAAAAAGCAAGAGCCUUCCUAUUGCCUCCAGACGGAAAGCAGCCCUUCUGACACCUCGAUUGAGCCCAAGGCCCAUAAGACUAAUUUCAGACUUCUGACCUCCCCAUCUGUGUUGUUUUAGCCAAAGUUUGUAGUAAUUUGUUACAGCAGAAAUAAGAAACUAGUACACUGACCAUCUACUGUGUGGCUGCAGCUGAGUCUUAGUCCCUGGGCUGAAACCUGUACAAGCACCAGUUACGUUAAAUUCACUCAACACCUCAAUAAGGUUGAAUAGUAUUAUUCUCAUUUCACAGGUGAGAAAACAGACUCAGAGAGAUGAAAUGAAUAAGCCCCACACACUCUGGAGCCAUAUGAUCAGUAUGGAGGGAGCCGGCACUGGGAGGCUGUGAGUCUGUAUUAAAAGUCUGUACCUCUAACCCUGAUGAGAACUGCCUCCUCUUGAAGCCUGUUAACAGGGACUAUUGCAUAAAAGCCCUGCAGGUCCCUGGGGUACCUCGGAGACCGCACCAGUGCCAACAAGAGGAAUUCCUGAAGGAUUGGCUGAGACCUCAUUUACAACCACUGGUGAGCCAACUUCUCUGCCUAAUCCUGCCUUCCUCACUUCUUUAUGAUGUAUCUCCCUAGAAGAACCUGGACCACACAGGGUCUCUUCCCAGGAGACCUGAUCCAAGAUAUUGCCAUAUUUGCCUUCCUUUAAGUGAAUGUUCUUAGUUCCUCUUCCUCUUUCUCUUCUCCCUUUGGGGCUGAGUUGUGUUGGUUGGAUACAAACUCAGCACGAUUCUAACUGCUAUAAUACCUGGUGUCUUUAGGAUACUAUCUGGUGG